rnacentral:rRNA from 1 species
UAGGGAAUCUUCCGCAAUGGACGCAAGUCUGACGGAGCAACGCCGCGUGAGUGAAGAAGGAUUUCGGUUCGUAAAACUCUGUUGUUAGAGAAGAACAGCGCAUAGAGUAACUGUUAUGCGUGUGACGGUAUCUAACCAGAAAGCCACGGCUAACUACGUGCCAGCAGCCGCGGUAAUACGUAGGUGGCAAGCGUUGUCCGGAUUUAUUGGGCGUAAAGCGAGCGCAGGCGGUCAAUUAAGUCUGAUGUGAAAGCCCCCGGCUCAACCGGGGAGGGUCAUUGGAAACUGGUUGACUUGAGGGCAGAAGAGGAGGGUGGAAUUCCAUGUGUAGCGGUAAAAUGCGUAGAUAUAUGGAGGAACACCGGUGGCGAAGGCGACUCUCUGGUCUGUAACUGACGCUGAGGCUCGAAAGCGUGGGUAGCAAACAGG